rnacentral:misc_RNA from 1 species
ACGUGCGUGCGCAUACACACCACCCCUCACCUCGCUGCUGCUGCUGUGACAGCUCUACGGACCCUGUCCAGUCGCUGCGCCCCCGCCACUCGCCUCUGUCCCCCGCAGGAGGCUGCGUACGACGUGUCGGCCACCCCGCACUGCCCGAGAAGCUGAGCUGGCGCUCACGCCCGAGCAAUCCCGCCCACGGAUCUGCUGCCGCCCGCACUGCUCUUGACGCUGGCUGCGAAUGGCGCUGUGCGUGCGUCGGCUGGUGCUGGCGGCGACCCUCGCCGCUGUGGUGGCGCUGCUGCUGUGCACGAGCAGUGCGCCGGUGGCGCGCGCUGCUGGAAUAAACGACUUCACUGCUGAGCAGCGGACGAACACGCUGGCGGUGCUGCAGGCGUUUGGGCGUGCGAUCCCUGAGCUUGAGAAGCAGUGGGUGGGCGAGGACUUCUGCGCGUGGGAGUACAUCAAGUGCUACUCCUCCGCCGUCAGCUUGUGGAUGGACAGCGUGGAUUAUGCCGGCACGCUGCCGGAGAUGCCUGCGGGCGUCGACUACACGAACGUCGUGAUCACGUUACUCGACUUCAGCGCAAUGGGCCAGAGGCUGAGCGGGACGCUGCCCGCCUCGUGGAGCUCGAUGACAUCGCUGGUGUCGUUGUGGCUUGAAGGGUGCGAACGUGUCACCGGCACUCUGCCCGCCUCGUGGAGCUCGAUGACAUCGCUGAGCAGUCUCAAUCUGCAUGGCACUCAGGUCUCCGGCAGUCUGCCGCCGCAGUGGAGCUCGAUGACAUCGCUGGCCACGCUUUAUCUGCGGCUCACGAAGGUCUCCGGCAGUCUGCCGCCUCAGUGGAGCUCGAUGACAUCGCUGACCCUUCUCGAUCUGCAGGGCGCUAAGGUCUCCGGCAGUCUGCCGUCCGAGUGGAGUGUCAUGAAGAGUGCCGAGGUCCUGAAGCUGCAGGACUGCGACCUGUCCGGCAGUCUGCCCUCCUCGUGGUCUGCGAUGCCGAAGCUGCGGGAAGUCUUACUGAGCGGCAACCACUUCUGCGGGUGUGUGCCUGAGUCGUGGGACCGGAAGGCCGGUCUCAGUGUGGACAUCGAGGACGAGCACAAGGGCAGCAAGUGCAAGCUUGAUAACCAAUGCCGCCCGAAAGCCACGCCUACUCCUGCCCCCGAGACGGAGUGCGAGGUGGAUGGGUGUGAGGUGUGCGAGGGGGACUCCGCGGCGAGGUGCGCCAGGUGCCGUGAGGGCUACUUCCUGACGAGCGAGAAGACGUGCCGGGCCGACCGCGAUGGCGGCGUUGCGGCCGCGUCGAGCGGAGCGGCUGCUGCCGCUGCUGUGUGCAUGGCUGUGCUACUGAGCGUGGGGCUGGCGGCGUGAGGAUGCCGCUGCUGUCACGCGCAGGCGGCGGCACCCGCUGCGUGGCACACGGCUGCGUGCGUGCCUGUGGGCUGAUGGGGGCGGAGCGCGGGUGUGUGUGGAGCGUGGCAGCAGCCGCUGGAGAGAGGGGGAGGGCGAUAGCCGAGGUGCAAGGGCCGCGGUGUUUGUGCGGCCAUGUGCGGCGUGCGGCACACGGGCGCUGCGUGCAUCGGCUUGGGACCGACAGCCCGGACCCCCUUCCGUCGCCUCCACUUCUCCCUCGCUCCCUCGUUGCAGGUGAGAGGCGCGCACCCGUGGCUGCUGCGGCGCACACGCAAGGCAGCGUGUAUUGUGUCUCGGUGCGACCUCUUCAUCGUGGCCCCGCUCUGCGACACCUUGUUGCCCGGGCACUCCGGCGGCGUGCGCUCUGUCCCCCUCUCCUGUCACGUGUCGUGAUGCGCUGCUGCGCUGAGGAUGCGUGCCACGGCCUGCCAGCACGGCUGCUGCACGAGCCGCAGCAAUGGCGUACAGCAGGGUGUGGGCGUCGGGCGCAGUGCUGGUCUGGUGAGGCGGACCCCUCUUAUCUGUGGUGCCCCUGCUGCCUCCCCUCCCCCUCGGCACGACGCCCUCGCUGCCCUCUCACCCCCGGCUGCUACAGGAGAGACCGACGCCCACGCGCGGACGCAGACACACACCAUCGUGCACCGUUCGCGCUUUCCCCCGCUGUCGCGCCGGCACGGAUGCACGAGGAUGCGGGGGCGUGCGCACGUAUGUGCGUGUGUGCGUGCCGGCUGUUGUCUGUCGCUCUCUCUCUGCGACCAGCACUCGGCACCCGCGCCGAUGGAAUGUGUGCGCGGCGGUGGAGGCUCGCCUUGGGCCGCGGGUGCGGACGUCCGCCACUGGCUGUCUGCGGUGCGGGCUGCUGUGCUGCAGCGCCUCGAGGCCCCCUCUCCCGCCAGGGCGAGCGAGCGAGCCUCUGCUGCCGUGUGGGCGACGCACGCAUGCACCGUCCGGGCCUCUUCAACGGGCUUCGAUAGCGGUGCUGUGUUUUGGCCGUGUGGGCGGGUGCUGCGGUGGCGCCUGGUGUGGCUGUGCUGGCACGCCUUGCCGCGCCCCUUGCGCCGCUGCCAUCGGCGGCUUCGUCGCUGACGCUGCCGCUCGCACGCGUGCUCGGGCCGUCUGUGCAGCAGCGGUGGUGUGCCGGAGUCGGCGGCACGCCGUCGAACCCUGAUUGGCGCCUCCGCGAGGUGCGACGGGGAAGCUGGGGGGAUGGGGAGGGCGUGGGCGCCCUCGUGCGCGGCAUGCGGGGAUGCGCGUGCGGCGGCGCUCUACUGCGCUGAGUAGUGAGGCUCGGUGCACGCGGCGCGAUGGCACGCAGCCUCGCUACCGGGCCACCCCGCUGUGCGUACGCAGCGGGUGAGCAGGCCCGUGCUCUCCCCUGCACCUUGCCCCUCUCCCCCACCCUCCUCUCUCGCCUGCCGGCGAGGGGGGGGUGGCACGUGCGCGUGUGCCGCUGCGCUUGCGAGUGCGUCUGUGCGUGGGCCCUCACCACGUGCUCCGGUCACGCCUUCUCGGCUGGCCACUCGCGGCGCUGAGGGCGGUGUGCCCCUCCGCCGAGCGCCGUCGCACUCUCUUCCACGCGUCUGCGCGGGCUUCUUCGUGCGCUGUGCUCAGCCGUGCGCUCUCACCUCUUUCCCUUUUCAUUCGCUUGUCUUCUCUCUUCUCCCCCGCACUGCGGUCUCCCCUCCUCUGCCGUGCGGUGCGCAG